GAUGAACGCUGGCGGCGUGCCUAAUACAUGCAAGUCGAGCGAACGGACGAGAAGCUUGCUUCUCUGAUGUUAGCGGCGGACGGGUGAGUAACACGUGGAUAACCUACCUAUAAGACUGGGAUAACUUCGGGAAACCGGAGCUAAUACCGGAUGAUAUUUUGAACCGCAUGGUUCAAAAGUGAAAGACGGUCUUGCUGUCACUUAUAGAUGGAUCCGCGCUGCAUUAGCUAGUUGGUAAGGUAACGGCUUACCAAGGCAACGAUGCAUAGCCGACCUGAGAGGGUGGUCGGCCACCCGGGAACUGAGACACGGUCCAGACUCCUACGGGAGGCAGCAGUAGGGAAUCUUCCGCAAUGGGCGAAAGCCUGACGGAGCAACGCCGCGUGAGUGAUGAAGGUCUUCGGAUCGUAAAACUCUGUUAUUAGGGAAGAACAUAUGUGUAAGUAACUGUGCACAUCUUGACGGUACCUAAUCAGAAAGCCACGGCUAACUACGUG
rnacentral:rRNA from 1 species